rnacentral:rRNA from 1 species
UACGGAGGGUGCAAGCGUUAUCCGGAUUCACUGGGUUUAAAGGGUGCGUAGGCGGGCAGGUAAGUCCGUGGUGAAAUCUCUGAGCUUAACUCAGAAACUGCCAUGGAUACUAUUUGUCUUGAAUAUUGUGGAGGUAAGCGGAAUAUGUCAUGUAGCGGUGAAAUGCUUAGAUAUGACAUAGAACACCAAUUGCGAAGGCAGCUUACUUCACAGUUAUUGACGCUGAGGCACGAAAGCGUGGGGUGCAAACAGG